CCGCGGAUAUCGAAUGCGACAUGGUCGUGCUCGGCUCGGGCCCGGGCGGUUACUCGGCCGCGUUCCGUGCCGCGGACCUCGGC
rnacentral:tRNA from 1 species